GAUGAUGUAGUUUAAUGGUAGAGCGUAGGAAUCAUAAUCCUAAUGUUGUAGGUUCAAAUCCUACCAUCAUUA
rnacentral:tRNA from 2 species